rnacentral:rRNA from 1 species
GAUGAACGCUGGCGGCGUGCCUAAUACAUGCCAGUCGAGCGAACAGACGAGGAGCUUGCUCCUCUGAUGUUAGCGGCGGACGGGUGAGUAACACGUGGAUAACCUACCUAUAAGACUGGGAUAACUUCGGGAAACCGGAGCUAAUACCGGAUAAUAUAUUGAACCGCAUGGUUCAAUAGUGAAAGACGGUUUUGCUGUCACUUAUAGAUGGAUCCGCGCCGCAUUAGCUAGUUGGUAAGGUAACGGCUUACCAAGGCAACGAUGCGUAGCCGACCUGAGAGGGUGAUCGGCCACACUGGAACUGAGACACGGUCCAGACUCCUACGGGAGGCAGCAGUAGGGAAUCUUCCGCAAUGGGCGAAAGCUUGACGGAGCAACGCCGCGUGAGUGAUGAAGGUCUUCGGAUCGUAAAACUCUGUUAUUAGGGAAGAACAAAUGUGUAAGUAACUAUGCACGUCUUGACGGUACCUAAUCAGAAAGCCACGGCUAACUACGUG